rnacentral:misc_RNA from 1 species
UAAGAGAAGAAAGUCGAACGGAUUGAUUUAUGAUCUUGCUCAUGAUGAUUUUCGUGGCGAACGGGUGAGAAACACGUGGAUAACCUACCUCAUAAUCCGGGAUAACACUCCAAAAGGGGUGCUAAUACCGGAUGGGCCUUCUUACCGCAUGGUGAGGAGAGGGAAAGGCGCAAGCCGAUAUGAGAUGGGUCCGCGUCCCAUUAGCUAGUUGGUGAGGUAACGGCUCACCAAGAGCAACGAUGGGUAGCCGGCCUGAGAGGGUGAACGGCCACACUGGGACUGACA